AACGAACGCUGGCGGCAUGCCUAACACAUGCAAGUCGAACGAGACCUUCGGGUCUAGUGGCGCACGGGUGCGUAACGCGUGGGAACCUGCCCUUAGGUUCGGAAUAACUCCCCGAAAGGGGUGCUGAUACCGGAUAAUGUCUUCGGACCAAAGAUUUAUCGCCUUUGGAUGGGCCCGCGUUGGAUUAGCUAGUUGGUAGGGUAAAAGCCUACCAAGGCGACGAUCCAUAGCUGGUCUGAGAGGAUGAUCAGCCACACUGGGACUGAGACACGGCCCAGACUCCUACGGGAGGCAGCAGUGGGGAAUAUUGGACAAUGGGCGAAAGCCUGAUCCAGCAAUGCCGCGUGAGUGAUGAAGGCCUUAGGGUUGUAAAGCUCUUUUACCCGGGACGAUAAUGACAGUACCGGGAGAAUAAGCUCCGGCUAACUCCGUG
rnacentral:rRNA from 1 species